UACGUAGGGGGCUAGCGUUGUCCGGAAUCACUGGGCGUAAAGGGUUCGCAGGCGGAAAUGCAAGUCAGAUGUAAAAGGCAGUAGCUUAACUACUGUAAGCAUUUGAAACUGCAUAUCUUGAGAAGAGUAGAGGUAAGUGGAAUUUUUAGUGUAGCGGUGAAAUGCGUAGAUAUUAAAAAGAAUACCGGUGGCGAAGGCGACUUACUGGGCUCAUUCUGACGCUGAGGAACGAAAGCGUGGGUAGCAAACAGGAUUAGAUACCCUGGUAGUCAAGGGCG
rnacentral:rRNA from 1 species